UACGUAGGAGACGAGCGUUGUCCGGAUUUAUUGGGCGUAAAGAGCCCGCAGGCGGCUUGGCAAGUUUGAGGUGAAAUCUCCCGGCUUAACUGGGAGGGGGCCUCGAAAACUGCCAGGCUUGAGGCAUGGAGAGGGAUGCGGAAUUCCCGGUGUAGUGGUGAAAUGCGUAGAUAUCGGGAGGAACACCAGUGGCGAAGGCGGCAUCCUGGCCAUGUCCUGACGCUCAGGGGCGAAAGCGUGGGGAGCAAACCGG
rnacentral:rRNA from 1 species